rnacentral:rRNA from 1 species
UAGGGAAUCUUCCACAAUGGACGCAAGUCUGAUGGAGCAACGCCGCGUGAGUGAAGAAGGUUUUCGGACCGUAAAGCUCUGUUGUUGGUGAAGAAGGAUAGAGGUAGUAACUGGCCUUUAUUUGACGGUAAUCAACCAGAAAGUCACGGCUAACUACGUGCCAGCAGCCGCGGUAAUCGUAGGUGGCAAGCGUUGUCCGGAUUUAUUGGGCGUAAAGCGAGCGCAGGCGGAAGAAUAAGUCUGAUGUGAGAGCCCUCGGCUUAACCGAGGAAUUGCAUCGGAAACUGUUUUUCUUGAGUGCAGAAGAGGAGAGUAGAACUCCAUGUGUAGCGGUGGAAUGCGUAGAUAUAUGGAAGAAUACCAGUGGCGAAGGCGGCUCUCUGGUCUGCAACUGACGCUGAGGCUCGAAAGCAUGGGUAGCGAACAGGAUUAGAUACCCUGGUAGUCCAUGCCGUAAACGAUGAGUGCUAAGUGUUGGGAGGCUUCCGCCUCUCAGUGCUGCAGCUAACGCAUUAAGCACUCCGCCUGGGGGAGUACGACCGCAAGGUUGAAAC